CUUCCUUUCUGUUUAGCUCUUUAGCCAUGUUGAAGACUCUGUUGGGUUUUGUUUGUGAAUAUACAUGCACAAAGUUUUUUUUUUAUCUAAGGGUUUUGCAAAGCUUGGGAUACCACCGGGCAGACUUAGAAACAGAAGCAGGCCUUGACUGAGGCAAACACAUCAUUUUGGGAAGAAGCUAUCUUCAUCUUUGUUUCAUUAUUCUCAAUCAUUGAGGCUAUUUUCCUCUGUGUUCAGGUAAGAGCCUCAGUUCUCUGGAAUGGAAGAAGCAGUGAAUGAAAAGUUGAUACUGAAUGUCAUUACUUAUGAGAUGUAUCUGAUCAGGCUUGAGUUUUCUGUUUUUGGAAAAAAAUAAAUGGUCUUAUGGAGAUGAGUACUGCC